UGGGGAAUAUUGGACAAUGGGCGAAAGCCUGAUCCAGCCAUGCCGCGUGUGUGAAGAAGGUCUUUUGGUUGUAAAGCACUUUAAGUGAGGAGGAAAAGCUUAUGGUUAAUACCCAUAAGCCCUGACGUUACCCACAGAAUAAGCACCGGCUAACUCUGUGCCAGCAGCCGCGGUAAUACAGAGGGUGCAAGCGUUAAUCGGAAUUACUGGGCGUAAAGCGCGCGUAGGUGGUUAUUUAAGUCAGAUGUGAAAGCCCCGGGCUUAACCUGGGAACUGCAUCUGAUACUGGAUAACUAGAGUAGGUGAGAGGGGAGUAGAAUUCCAGGUGUAGCGGUGAAAUGCGUAGAGAUCUGGAGGAAUACCGAUGGCGAAGGCAGCUCCCUGGCAUCAUACUGACACUGAGGUGCGAAAGCGUGGGUAGCAAACAGGAUUAGAUACCCUGGUAGUCCACGCCGUAAACGAUGUCUACCAGUCGUUGGGUCUUUUAAAGACUUAGUGACGCAGUUAACGCAAUAAGUAGACCGCCUGGGGAGUACGGCCGCAAGGUUA
rnacentral:rRNA from 1 species